rnacentral:rRNA from 1 species
AAAUUGAAGAGUUUGAUCAUGGCUCAGAUUGAACGCUGGCGGCAGGCCUAACACAUGCAAGUCGAACGGUAACAGGAAGCAGCUUGCUGCUUUGCUGACGAGUGGCGGACGGGUGAGUAAUGUCUGGGAAACUGCCUGAUGGAGGGGGAUAACUACUGGAAACGGUAGCUAAUACCGCAUAACGUCGCAAGACCAAAGAGGGGGACCUUCGGGCCUCUUGCCAUCGGAUGUGCCCAGAUGGGAUUAGCUAGUAGGUGGGGUAAAGGCUCACCUAGGCGACGAUCCCUAGCUGGUCUGAGAGGAUGACCAGCCACACUGGAACUGAGACACGGUCCAGACUCCUACGGGAGGCAGCAGUGGGGAAUAUUGCACAAUGGGCGCAAGCCUGAUGCAGCCAUGCCGCGUGUAUGAAGAAGGCCUUCGGGUUGUAAAGUACUUUCAGCGGGGAGGAAGGGAGUAAAGUUAAUACCUUUGCUCAUUGACGUUACCCGCAGAAGAAGCACCGGCUAACUCCGUGCCAGCAGCCGCGGUAAUACGGAGGGUGCAAGCGUUAAUCGGAAUUACUGGGCGUAAAGCGCACGCAGGCGGUUUGUUAAGUCAGAUGUGAAAUCCCCGGGCUCAACCUGGGAACUGCAUCUGAUACUGGCAAGCUUGAGUCUCGUAGAGGGGGGUAGAAUUCCAGGUGUAGCGGUGAAAUGCGUAGAGAUCUGGAGGAAUACCGGUGGCGAAGGCGGCCCCCUGGACGAAGACUGACGCUCAGGUGCGAAAGCGUGGGGAGCAAACAGGAUUAGAUACCCUGGUAGUCCACGCCGUAAACGAUGUCGACUUGGAGGUUGUGCCCUUGAGGCGUGGCUUCCGGAGCUAACGCGUUAAGUCGACCGCCUGGGGAGUACGGCCGCAAGGUUAAAACUCAAAUGAAUUGACGGGGGCCCGCACAAGCGGUGGAGCAUGUGGUUUAAUUCGAUGCAACGCGAAGAACCUUACCUGGUCUUGACAUCCACGGAAGUUUUCAGAGAUGAGAAUGUGCCUUCGGGAACCGUGAGACAGGUGCUGCAUGGCUGUCGUCAGCUCGUGUUGUGAAAUGUUGGGUUAAGUCCCGCAACGAGCGCAACCCUUAUCCUUUGUUGCCAGCGGUCCGGCCGGGAACUCAAAGGAGACUGCCAGUGAUAAACUGGAGGAAGGUGGGGAUGACGUCAAGUCAUCAUGGCCCUUACGACCAGGGCUACACACGUGCUACAAUGGCGCAUACAAAGAGAAGCGAUCUCGCGAGAGCAAGCGGACCUCAUAAAGUGCGUCGUAGUCCGGAUUGGAGUCUGCAACUCGACUCCAUGAAGUCGGAAUCGCUAGUAAUCGUGGAUCAGAAUGCCACGGUGAAUACGUUCCCGGGCCUUGUACACACCGCCCGUCACACCAUGGGAGUGGGUUGCAAAAGAAGUAGGUAGCUUAACCUUCGGGAGGGCGCUUACCACUUUGUGAUUCAUGACUGGGGUGAAGUCGUAACAAGGUAACCGUAGGGGAACCUGCGGUUGGAUCACCUCCUUA